rnacentral:lncRNA from 1 species
AAAUCUUUGGUACGGCAGAGCGAACGUGGACUUGCAAGGUUAGCACUUUGACGCUCAAAUUAAUGAGUGAAUGAAAAUGGUCAUAAUAAAUUAUGAUCAAAAUCAUACCAUAAACGACUCGUGGUGAUUUAUAUAUGAUGAAUGAUGAUUGAGUUUAUGUUGGACAUGACUGAACAAAAGUAUUACCUUUGCCACUGACAUAACAAGAAACUAAAAACAUCAAUUACCUUGAUUUUUU